UACCACAGCUAAAUCACCCUGCAGCCCAAGACUGGUUACUCACUGAAGCUAAGCAGAGCUGAGCCUGGUCCGUACUUGGAUGGGAGACCACAUGGGAAAGCUAGAUUGCUUUUGGAA
rnacentral:rRNA from 1 species